CCUACGGGGGGCAGCAGUAGGGAAUAUUGGACAAUGGGCGCAAGCCUGAUCCAGCCAUGCCGCGUGAGUGAAGAAGGCCUUCGGGUUGUAAAGCUCUUUUGUCCGGAAAGAGAAGCAUCCAGUUAAUACCUGGGUGUCCUGACGGUACCGGAAGAAUAAGCACCGGCUAACUUCGUGCCAGCAGCCGCGGUAAUACGAAGGGUGCAAGCGUUACUCGGAAUUACUGGGCGUAAAGCGUGCGUAGGUGGUUUGUUAAGUCUGAUGUGAAAGCCCUGGGCUCAACCUGGGAAUGGCAUUGGAUACUGGCAGGCUAGAGUGCGGUAGAGGGUAGUGGAAUUCCCGGUGUAGCAGUGAAAUGCGUAGAGAUCACACAGAACACCAGAGGCGAAGGCGGAGUACUAGACCAUAGUUGACGCUGAGGCACGAAAGCGUGGGGAUCAAACAGGAUUAGAUACCCGUGUAGUC
rnacentral:rRNA from 1 species